UCAAACAAGGCAUAUGAUUUCUAAAAAUUUUAAUUUAUUUGAUUAGUCUGGAUUUUUAUUACUAUGCAAUGCAAUCUCUUUUUUUAAGGUGCAAAGGAAAAGUUACAACAGCAAGAGAAGAGAGUUACUCCCUCUCAUACACCACACCUAACGUAUCAGCUACAAUCAACUGCCUCAUCUGGACAGGAAAUUCACCUGGUGCACCUUUGAUCAGCAGGUCCACUGCUUUCUAGCAAUCUGUUUCUACUUGGAUCUCCCUCCACCCUUUCUCAAACAUGAUGGUCAACCCUCCAUAGCUUGGUUUGGGAGGCUUUUUGGCUUUUUUGGCUAUUUUAACCUAGGGCUAAAAAGUUUGAUUUGGGAAGAGAUUUUGGCUUUUUUGACUUUUUUGAUUUUUUUGUAAGAGAAAGAAUGUAAUGAUUAUAGAUUUGAUGUGAUUGUUUGCCUUAUUGGGCUAAAAAGCCUAUUUUGUUUUUUUGUGGCUAUUUUAGCCAAAAAAACCACAAAACCUUCUUCCCAAACAUAAGCUAUAUAUUCCCUA